rnacentral:tRNA from 1 species
GGGAAUUAGCUCAGUUGGGAGAGCGCCGCCCUUGCAAGGCGGAGGUCACCGGUUCAAAUCCGGUAUUCUCC